UUGAAGGUGUGUUUCAUCUGAUGUAAUGAAUAUUUCUGUUUACAAAUAUUAUGUCAAACUAAUUACAAUAUUUGAAACAAAAAGAUAAAUAACCAUGGUCAUAAUGGGUAUUUUUCUUUAUUCAGGAAAUGUGUAGUCUCUGUGCGUCUAUGGAGAAACCUGAAAUGGAAACGGAGUGGGAGAGUACACAUGGUUAUGAGACAACUUUCAGUAGAUUCAAUUAUACUUCAAGCUUGAUGCUGUUAUGUUUUCUGUUUCCAACUGUGACAGAACCUAGAACAGAAAUGAAGUGUGUGACAAUAAUUCAUAGACAAAUUUAGACUAAUACUCUUUCAUGGAUGCUAAAUUUGGUAGAUUAGCCAUAAAUGUUUUAUUAUAAUUCAAAGUUGUAUAUAGUUAUAUUUAUAAUAAUUCAUUGUUUGAAUUUGUUUUAUAAAGCACUUUAUUGAACUAAAAUAAUCAUAGCUGCAUUUAGUAAAUUAUUUAGCACACGUGUGACUGCUGUCUCAUGCCUUAAGUGUUUCAGCUGCUAAAAUAUGUUUUGGGGAUAUUUUUUCUGGAUAGAAAUUUACCUUUCUGAUAUUGUACGAGUGUUUGGACAUUCCUUUCAAAGGUGAAAUAUGGCUACUUAUAUUGCUUUGUUUCUAAUAAUGAUAUUGAAGGUGUAAAGUAUGUAAAUAUUUUUGUAAGAAAUUGAUUAAACAUAUUGGUCAAUCAUUGGCAUUCGUCGUGUGAUAAGUUUUUACUGGUUUGAGUUAAAAGACUGGUACAUAUGAUAAGUUUUAUUGCAUCUUUUAUUGAAAUCUUCAAGUAUUCAAUAUUAUUAUGAGUCUAGGUAUAUAUAUAUAUAUAUAUAUAUAUAUAUAUAUAUA